rnacentral:rRNA from 1 species
AUUGAACGCUGGCGGCAUGCUUUACACAUGCAAGUCGAACGGCAGCACAGGUGCUUGCACCUGGUGGCGAGUGGCGAACGGGUGAGUAAUAUAUCGGAACGUACCCGGAAAUGGGGGAUAACGUAGCGAAAGUUACGCUAAUACCGCAUAUGCCCUGAGGGGGAAAGCGGGGGAUUCGCAAGAACCUCGCGUUUUCGGAGCGGCCGAUAUCGGAUUAGCUAGUAGGUGAGGUAAAGGCUCACCUAGGCGACGAUCCGUAGCUGGUCUGAGAGGAUGAUCAGCCACACUGGGACUGAGACACGGCCCAGACUCCUACGGGAGGCAGCAGUGGGGAAUAUUGGACAAUGGGCGAAAGCCUGAUCCAGCAAUGCCGCGUGAGUGAUGAAGGCCUUAGGGUUGUAAAGCUCUUUUUACCAGGGAUGAUAAUGACAGUACCUGGAGAAUAAGCUCCGGCUAACUCCGUGCCAGCAGCCGCGGUAAUGU